GUCAAACCUGAACGAGCUCAUCUCGUGGCUACAGCACAUGACAGGGGACAACAAAUGCGCCCCCAUCUGGGGAUUUUCUUCAGUGUGCUGUUCGCCGGCGCAGCCAUAGUACUUAGGACCGUCACCUGAAUGGUAACAGGUGACAAACAACGGUCGUUUGAGUAUAGCUUUUUCAGAACACAAGCAACAGAGAAAUCUUUCCAGCUGUCUGAGUGGCGGAGCGCCGACCUCCCUGUCCGCGUGGAUUUGCGUCCGUGGAACAGAGAUUGUACAUUUGGUGUGGAGACGGCAGACCUUUCGAGUGAGAGGUGGGACGCGACUAACUCGAGGUUCAGGGCAGAGUGGAGCCUGUCUGACGGAGACACACGGCUUACCCGGGGGGGGGGUGUGGCUCCCAGGGCUGCCAUCUUGAUCCACUGUCACCACCUACCAAGGACUCCCUUGUAAACAAGACCUUCGUCUCAACGCGACUUUCAAAUCAAGUCAUGCUUUUCACAAGCUUUAUAAAAUCAAGCUGACCAAUAAAAGUGAAAUGCUCACUUAACAUAUUUUUAUUGCUAAUAAAACUGUAUCAAAUAGGAGUUUCACUUUGUUCAGUUGUGAUGUGAGAUGGUUCCUCACCCUGAUUUUAUAAUCCAUGGCUUAGAUUACUCUAAUCAGCCAUUCCAGACUUCAGCUAACAUCAGCGGUCACUAGCAGUACAAUACACUGUCAAUACACAAUGGAAGCAAUCAGGCCUUAUGAGCAUGUUUAGUUUUUUUGUUAUUCUUUUUUUUUCAUGGCAAAAUCACUUUUAGGAAACAUCAAACCAAUUAUGGAUUUAAUUUCAGGUGAUUUUAGAUUUGUAUGUAUUUUUCAAAUGAAGUCUGGAAAGGCUGUUUAAAGAAAAACGAGCAAUAACGAGCAAACUACUAAUGUAGUUCCUCAUGGUCGAGAGACUUCUUCUAUGGGGAAGAUGCAUCUUACGUCAAAAAGUGAAAUUAUUUUUUAGUAAUCCCGUGUAUGUCCUAUGAAUGUCCAUGCCCCUCACAACCAUGCCUACAGUAGAGGAUUAAUCAUGUGUG
ensembl:lncRNA